rnacentral:lncRNA from 1 species
AAUUUUCAUUGUCAUAUAUAUCACUGCAAAUUCUUAAUAACUGAAGCAUUAGUUUUUGAAAAGGUAGAAUCCGAUAUAGGAAUUCUAUUCAACCAACAUUGAUCAGAUACAUUACAAUAAUUCGGCACUUAUUCCAUUUGACAGAUUCUGCCAAUAACCAGUUUCUGGUGACAAAAUUUGAUUUCUAUCAUCAGAGAAUGCUAGCUACUUUGUGCCGUGAACGAUAUCCAGCUCUAUGGAAUAUCUCUACUACUGAUAAUUAGCUGAUCAGUGAUGUUUCGGAUCUGGUCCUCCAGGACUCAAACGUUUCGACGCAUACAGGUUCUUCGUGUAUUCAUCUAUGAGUGGUACGCUAAACUGAUGCACUUUCCCUGAACUAGUCGUAAUGGACAAUGCUCCAAAAGAACUAGUUGUGGUCUUUCCCUCGACGUAUGGAUUGAGAACACGGCUUUCAGACCUUGGUACUGCGUGCAAUAUAAUCAGUAUCAAGCAUGCACAAAAACGCAAGCUAGCCAUAUGCGGUCUUU